rnacentral:rRNA from 1 species
UACGUAGGGUACGAGCGUUGUCCGGAAUUAUUGGGCGUAAAGAGCUCGUAGGUGGUUGGUCACGUCUGCUGUGGAGACGCAACGCUUAACGUUGCGCGGACAGUGGGUACGGGCUGACUAGAGUGCAGUAGGGGAGUCUGGAAUUCCUGGUGUAGCGGUGAAAUGCGCAGAUAUCAGGAGGAACACCGGUGGCGAAGGCGGGACUCUGGGCUGUGACUGACACUGAGGAGCGAAAGCAUGGGGAGCGAACAGGAUUAGA